rnacentral:rRNA from 1 species
CCUACGGGAGGCAGCAGUGGGGAAUAUUGCACAAUGGGCGAAAGCCUGAUGCAGCAACGCCGCGUGAGCGAUGAAGGCCUUCGGGUCGUAAAGCUCUGUCCUCAAGGAAGAUAAUGACGGUACUUGAGGAGGAAGCCCCGGCUAACUACGUGCCAGCAGCCGCGGUAAUACGUAGGGGGCUAGCGUUAUCCGGAAUUACUGGGCGUAAAGGGUGCGUAGGUGGUUUCUUAAGUCAGAGGUGAAAGGCUACGGCUCAACCGUAGUAAGCCUUUGAAACUGAGAAACUUGAGUGCAGGAGAGGAGAGUAGAAUUCCUAGUGUAGCGGUGAAAUGCGUAGAUAUUGGGAGGAACACCCGUGGCGAAGGCGGCUCUCUGGACCACAACUGACGCUGAGGCGCGAAAGCUAGGGGAGCAAACGGGAUUAGAUACCCCGGUAGUCCUGGCCGUAAACGAUGGGCACUAGGUGUUGGAGGUAUCGACCCCUCCAGUGCUGCAGCUAACGCAUUAAGUGCCCCGCCUGGGGAGUACGGUCGCAAGACUAAAACUCAAAGGAAUUGACGG